UGAGCAUGCGCAGAGUGGCAUUUGUUCUCGUCGAUGGCAUUGGCGAUGUCUCGAUUCCAGAGCUCGGAUGGAAGACGCCGCUGGAGGCCGCGAGCACGCCGAAUCUGGAUGCCAUCGCGACCGCUGGAAUCAGCGGCUUGAUGGAUCCCGUGGAGCCAGGGCUUGCAUGCGGCAGCGAUACCGCUCACCUUUCUCUGCUAGGGUAUGAUCCCAGGCAGUAUUAUCGCGGCCGCGGCGCCUUCGAAUCGCUGGGCGCCGGUCUUGCCAUGUCUCCUGGCGAUAUUGCGUUCAAGAGCAACUUCGCGACCAUGGACGAUGGAACUGGAGUUGUGACUUGCAGAAGAGCCGAUCGCCAUUUCGAAGAAGACGGACCUAUUUUCUGUGCUGCUUUGGAUGGCUUGAAGCUUCCUUCCUUUCCAGCUUACGAAGUUCGUGUCAGGUAUGCCACGGAACAUAGGUGUGGAGUGGUCGUGAAAGGACCAGGACUGAGCGGAAACAUUUCUGGUACUGAUCCACUCAAAGACAACAGACUUUUAGAGGUUGUCGUCCCGCUGGAUGAAUCCGACGAAGCGAAACACACCGCCGCCGUGGUGAACGAGCUCUCGCUCGAACUGAGACGUAUCUUAUCGGAUCAUCCACUCAACGCGAAGCGACAGUCUGCUGGUAAGGCCAUUGCGAAUGUCGUGCUAUUAAGAGGAUGUGGAAUACGCAUUCAGGUCCCAAGCUUUAAUGAGAAACAUGGGCUUCGAUCCUGUAUGGUAGCUCCAACAAAAAUCAUCGCUGGACUUGGUCUCUCACUCGACAUUGCCAUUUUGGAUGCACCAGGAGCUACUGGCGAUUACAGAACACUUCUGACGUCGAAAGCAAACGCUAUUGCAAAAGCAUUGGCUGCUCCUCUGGAGCGUCCGCCCAAUGUAUUCGUUCCUGGUGAAGAUGAUGCUAAGCCUGGCUGGAGCGAAGGCUAUGACUUCGGCUUUUUGCAUAUAAAGGCGAUUGAUGACGCUGGCCACGACAAGGCUGUCAAGCUGAAAAAGCUGGCAUUUGAGGCGGUUGACAAAAUGAUUGGGCAAUUAGCACGGAUGCUAUGGGAAGCUGAAUGUAGAGGCGCAGGACAAUUCUCGUUAUGUGUCACAGGUGAUCAUUCUACACCAGUUGAGUAUGGAGACCACAGCUUUGAGCCGGUUCCGUUUACCAUCUGUCAUCUCAAGGACUUUGUCAAGACCAAGGGUGAAGAUACCGUGCUAUCUUCGCCGUUGGAAGCCUUCCGACUGCCGGGUACUACUGAAGAUUCAUCAUGGACAUAUGAGACGCACGGUCCAAAGCCUUGUGAUGUCCAUGGUGACGGAGUGACGAGCUUUUCCGAGCUUUCGGCUGCUCGAGGUGUUCUUGGUCGUUUCCCGGGCAGCGAGAUGAUGGGCAUCAUCAAAAAGUACAUGCAGCUAGACACAUGCUGAAUUGAAAAACGCAAGCAUCUUUUCUAAUAAGUUGAAGGCUUCUGCUGUUGAUAGUUGAAGGCACUGCUGGAGGCGAGACAUUUUGCCAUAAGUUUGUGUUACGAACAUUCGGGGAAUGGGAUCGGGUAUCGUUGUCUAUCAUUACAAUAAGUUGAGGUCCCGAAUGCUUGAAAUUUCGUUUUGCUGGUCAGAGCAGAUUGAGCCUUCCUCGCAUCCUUGCAACUUCAAGUCCGUGAAGGAUGCGACGAAGGGGCCAUAUGCAUAGU